UACAGAGGGGGCAAGCGUUAUUCGGAAUUAUUGGGCGUAAAGGGCGCGUAGGCGGCCUGGCAAGUGGAAGGUGAAAUCCCUCGGCUUAACCGAGGAACUGCCUCCCAAACUGCUUGGCUUGAGACCGGGAGAGGUGAGUGGAAUUCCCAGUGUAGCGGUGAAAUGCGUAGAUAUUGGGAGGAACACCAGUGGCGAAGGCGGCUCACUGGACCGGUACUGACGCUGAUGCGCGAAAGCGUGAGGAGCAAACAGG
rnacentral:rRNA from 1 species